CAAGUCGAGCGAAUCUUGAGGUGCUUGCACCUCUUGGUUAGCGGCGGACGGGUGAGUAACACGUGGGCAACCUGCCUGUAAGACUGGGAUAACACCGGGAAACCGGUGCUAAUACCGGAUAAUCCUUUUCCUCUCACGAGGAAAAGCUGAAAGUCGGUUUCGGCUGACACUUACAGAUGGGCCCGCGGCGCAUUAGCUAGUUGGUGAGGUAACGGCUCACCAAGGCAACGAUGCGUAGCCGACCUGAGAGGGUGAUCGGCCACACUGGGACUGAGACACGGCCCAGACUCCUACGGGAGGCAGCAGUAGGGAAUCUUCCGCAAUGGACGAAAGUCUGACGGAGCAACGCCGCGUGAGCGAUGAAGGCCUUCGGGUCGUAAAGCUCUGUUGUUAGGGAAGAACAAGUAUCGGAGUAACUGCCGGUACCUUGACGGUACCUAACCAGAGAGCCACGGCUAACUACGUGCCAGCAGCCGCGGUAAUACGUAGGUGGCAAGCGUUGUCCGGAAUUAUUGGGCGUAAAGCGCGCGCAGGCGGUUCUUUAAGUCUGAUGU
rnacentral:rRNA from 1 species